rnacentral:rRNA from 1 species
UACGUAGGGGGCAAGCGUUGUCCGGAAUCAUUGGGCGUAAAGCGCGUGUAGGCGGCUCGAUAAGUCUGCUGUGAAAGUCCAAGGCUCAACCUUGGGAUGCCGGUGGAUACUGUCGAGCUCGAGUCCGGAAGAGGAGUGUGGAAUUCCUGGUGUAGCGGUGAAAUGCGUAGAUAUCUGGAGGAACACCGGUGGCGAAGGCGGCAUCCUGGACCGGCAUUGACGCUGAGGCGCGAAAGCCAGGGGAGCAAAACGGGG